rnacentral:rRNA from 1 species
CAAUACGGAGUGGCAGACGGGUGAGUAACACGUGGGAACGUACCCUUCGGUUCGGGAUAACUCAGGGAAACUUGAGCUAAUACCGGAUACGUCCGAGAGGAGAAAGAUUUAUUGCCGAGGGAUCGGCCCGCGUCUGAUUAGCUUGUUGGUGAGGUAACGGCUCACCAAGGCGACGAUCAGUAGCUGGUCUGAGAGGAUGAUCAGCCACAUUGGGACUGAGACACGGCCCAA